rnacentral:rRNA from 1 species
UACGUAGGGUGCAAGCGUUAAUCGGAAUUACUGGGCGUAAAGCGUGCGCAGGCGGUUUUGUAAGUCUGACGUGAAAGCCCCGGGCUCAACCUGGGAAUUGCGAUGAAGACUGCAAGGCUAGAAUCUGGCAGAGGGGGGUAGAAUUCCACGUGUAGCAGUGAAAUGCGUAGAGAUGUGGAGGAACACCGAUGGCGAAGGCAGCCCCCUGGGUCAAGAUUGACGCUCAUGCACGAAAGCGUGGGGAGCGAACAGG